UGGGUAAGGCUUUGGGAACUAAGUUGAACCCUUGAAGCUCUAAUUCCAAACUUGAGUUGCAAAGUACCCAGUCUGUUGUUUCAACAACUUUGUACUUCCUAAGUUGAAAAUCAAACAUAAAUUUUGGGGUUGAAGGAGAGUCAUCAAUGUUAAGCCAUACCAAAUUCAUUGGGUGUAUAGAAAGCGUCAUUGGUGACAACUGAAUCAUCUUAUGUUUCAUGAGUGGAGUGCCUGCAAAACAGAUUUAAAUAAUUGAAGAUAACGUUGUUGAAAGUGUUUUUUAAGCUAUAAGUAAUGUUAAACUGGCAGUUUCAAAAGUAAGAAAAUGCUUUUGAAUCCUUGGAAAAAACAGUUUUCAAGCAAGUCACAUUUUUAACCAUUAUUUAUAAUUUAAUGUGUUUUAUGUACUAAUUAUAUAGGAUAUACAAUUAUUUUUCUAUUGAAACUUAUUUUAAAUAUAUACUAUUAUAUAGUUAAUUUUUUAUAGUUAUAUUUUAAUGAUAUUUAAAAUAUAGAUUAUAUAUUUAAAUUAAAUUUUAUAAAUAAUUAAUAUUAAUUGCUUACAAAUAUUUAAAAUUUAUAUUGCAUAUAUCAAAAUAUUAAUAAUGAGUUAUGAUAAAAAAAUUUAUAUUUUUAUUUUAAUAUCAUAAUAAUGAGUUUUAAUAUUAUUCAAAUGCAUAUUUUUAUUUCACCACAUCAUGUUUAAAAUAAACGUAUUAUUUCUUAAAAAUAUUUGUUAAUAAUAAUACUAAACAGUUAAAUUAAAGGUUUAAAAAUAUUUUUAAUUCAAAAGUUACGAGAAAUUAGCCUAAGUCAAAUCAAAUUAGAUCUCACACGAGAAAAAAAACAUAUAUUUUCUCUUAUUCAUAGGUACUGCACUGCUAAGUAGUUAAAGCAAAACAGGGUACGUCUUACCAUUUUCAUCUAUCAGUCCAUCAUCAAUAAGUUUGGGGACCCUAAGCAACACCGCCAGUUGAAGCACCGCAGUCGGCCAAAAGCCCACCGUAGGAAUCCCCAACUCCGCCGCAACAUCAAGAGCCAACCCCAUGCUAAUAUCAGCUAAAACACAUGAAAUCUUAUCAUCAUCUGAUCCAUUAACCUUAUGAAUGAGCUCAUUGAGUUGAGUAGGCAUAACCUGGCAUAAACUUUCAGUUAACUUCCCUAACUGAUUCCUAUCUUCCCCAUCUUCUAGUCCAUCGGGGACUGAAAGUAGAUGAAGUAAGCCAUUUUCAUCCACCUUCUCGCCGAAUGCAUCCAAGACCCUCUUGUGAUUAAACACUGUGUUAACAAAGCUGAUUUUGAUGCCUUGUUUGGCUAAGUUUUGGGAGAGUUCCAUGAGAGGAAUAACAUGGCCUUGGGCUGGAUAAGGGAUUACCACAACGUGUGGUUUCCCCAUUUCCGUUUGUGCUUUUGGAGAAUUGAGGGCUCACACUUUGAUUAUUUAUAGCAACCAUUUCGGGCCAAUUUACGUUUCCAAUGCCAUCCUAUCUUCUAAAGAAAAUAAAAAUAUAAUAAUAACGUGGUGUCACGUGAUUUAAUUAUGGUGCAUCUUCUGUCUUGUAAUCUCGAUUUUUCAUUCUCCCACUACAACAAAAUCAAGCUUACGAGCACACCUUUUUUUUUACUUAGUAUUCAUUACUAAUAGCUACUAAAAAUGAUUUUAAUUGUAUUUUUUAAUUUUUUGGUCAUUUACCUUUAUUUUUUAAUCUUUUUUUUAACAAUUUUAAUGAAAGUGAAGUUAAAAUAAUUAACGGGAAUAAUGUGAAAUUUCAUAUGCGAAAUAUUUUUAAUGAGAUGUAAUUUAUUACUUAGAUAAUUCAAUAAGAUAGUUGAAGGUGAAAUAAAAAUACAUUAAAUUAAAAAAUAACUCUUAAUUUAAAGAAAAUAAUGUAAUUAUCUAAAAAUAUAUUACUCAGUAGAAAAUUUUCUCAAUAAACAAACAUAUGAAAGAUUGAAACCUUAAAUUUAUUCAUUAAAUCUCGUGAAUUAAUUAAUUAAAUAUGUUAAAAUGUAGUUGAAAAUAAAUCAAAGGUUGAUGGAAAAAAAAACUCAAAAAUACAAUUAGGGCCAUUUUGACAAAACAUAUAAAUAUUAGUGACCAAAUUUAUCAUUAAGCCUUACUCAUAUAACGUGCCAUACAUAUAUUUAACAUAUAUUGUAUUAUAUUAUAGUAUAAAAAUUAAUAAAUCUUCGAAUUAUUUAUAUAUGUAACAUAUAUUAUAAUAUGAAUUGUUAAUAUGAAACUACCUUACACAUGAUUUGCUUUGUUAUAUUAUAUAAUGAUAUAUUAUAUUACGAAGAAUAAAAAUUACAUUAUAUUUAUUACUUAUAAUUAAUUAUAUGCAUAUAAAUACUAUAAGCAUGAUAACAUAAUAUGAAUUAUUAAUACUUUGACUUUAUUAUAAUUAUAUUCAUCUAAUUAUUAGUGUGUUUUUUUUGUUACUUAACUAUGAAAAGUUACAAAAUGGUUACUCAAAAUUUCAACUUUUUUUCUUUUUUGGGCACCCAAUUAUUAAUUGAAAUUUUCUUUUAUGAUCACCGGCCAUUAAAUUAGUAAUCGAAAAAUAACUUAGCAGUUUUUAAAAUUGGCAUAAUAGUAACAUUAACCUUCAACAUUUAUACAUUGUGUUAAUUUAGUCUUGAUUCUAAAAAAAAAAAUUAACCCUCGACAUUUGCACAUCAUAUAAAUUGGUUUUUUUUAAAUUUUACUUUUUAUUUAUAAUGUUGAUGGUUAAUUUUAAAAGAAUAAGAAAAGUUAAAAAUGAUUAUGUUGAAUUUUCAAAUGUUUCCUUUUUGAUAUAUUUCCUAUCAAAUUUACUUGAUAGAUUUGUUUUUUCUUUUAGCUCUUUAGGUGGAAGGGAAACAAAAAAAAAGGCAAAAAAAGAAAAGAAAAGAGGAGAGAUCAAAUUACACAAUAUGUAAAUUUUGAGGGUUAAUCUUUGUUUAUAAUUAAGACUAAAUUGACACAAGUUAUAAAUGUUGAAGGUUAAAGCUAUUAUUAUGUCAAUUUUAAAAGCUAUCAUGUUAAUUUUCUAUCAAUCAUUUACGACUGUUGACCAUAAAGGAAAAACUCAAAUAGUUAAGUGAUAAUUUUGUAACUUUUCUUUCAUAGUUAAGAGCCAAAAAAAACUUACCUAUAGUCAGUGGCGGAUCUUUGGACUAAGUUUUGAGAUUAUUAAAAUUUUCAAAAAUUUUAAUGAGAUUUUUUUAAAAAUUAACGGUUUAAUUAAAAUUUUUAAAAUUUUUGUGAAAUUAAUGAGAAUUUUUAAAUGUUUUAAGUGGGCUUUUUAAAAUAAAUUUCAAAAAAAAUUAAAAAAUAUAAUGAGAAUUUUUUAAAAUUUGGGGAGCUUACUUUUUUUUACUUUAAAAGAGAAAUAAAAUUUUAAAAAAUAAAUAAUAAUUUCUAAAAUUUUAAGAGUGCCUGUAAUUGUCCGAUUUUAGGCCUAGUCGGAACAGUGGUUUCGGUACCACAAAUCUGACGAGAAAAAAAAAUGUAAUGGCCUGAAUUUUCAGAGGUGUCGGAACGGUGAUUCGAGAUCACUAAAUUCGACAAAUGGGUAGAAAAUAUUAUUAAUUUAGUAAGUAUAAGUUAAAUGUGAAGUUAGGAAAAUUUUUGAAAUAGUGAAUAGUGCACUAGAAAUAAAUAUUAAAAUAAUUAGAAUCGAAAUGAGGUAUCAAGACCUCGGGGAUUUUAAACUGAGCCAUAAAUAUUUUUAUAAAUAUUUAUGGAGUGUUAAAAAGUUAGUAUUAAAGUUUCGGUAAGAAAUUUUAAAGUUCCGAUAAUUAAUUGAACAAAAAAGACUAAAUUGUAACAAAUGCAAAAUUUUGGGAAAUGAUUAAAUAGCUUAAAUGAUAAAAGGAAGAGGGCUUAAAAGGCAAAUAGACCCAAGGUCUAUUUGGGCUGGACGGCAGAGGCAUGAAAUCAGCAAGAAAGUAAGGAGAAUUAAGGGCAAAAUUGCAAAAUUGCAAAAUUUGCUUAAUAAAGUUAGGACCCAAGUGGAAUUAUCUAGAUUUCUCUUUAUUUUUCUGAAUUCUCAUCAGCAAAAACACCAUGGAAGGGCUUCUUCAAGCUGGUUCUUCAUAUUUUUACUACAAGUAAGUUCAAUUCUUUACUAUUUCUUGAAAUUUUUGUAUUUUUAUGACUUUUACAACUAGGCCCACUUGUUAAAUUCAUUAGUUUUUGAUUUUAUGAAAGAAGUUGAAAGUUGAUAUGAAUAUGUGCUGGAAUUAUAUGAUGAUUUAUCAUGAAAUUAGAGCUUUAAAUUGUUCAUAUGCUGAUUUUAUUGAAAGAAUUGAAUAGAAAGUGAAUGUUUGGGACCUAAUAGUAAAAGAGUUUGAAGAUAGAGUUAUAUGUGGAAAUUCUGGAUUUAAAUAGUUGAGUAACAACUUAUAAUGUCUAGGUGAAGUAUUAAUUGAGAAAAUUAGAUUAAUUGAGGGGUUAAUUGAGAAAGGACCGAAUUGUAUAAACUGUGAAAUUUGGGGCAAAAUGGAAAUCAACAUUUUGCACUAAAGCAGUUUUGGACAGUAGUAGUGUAACUUUGAAAAAUCACCAAAAAUUGUAGAGAUUGAAUUAGAGGAUUAAUAAAAUAUGAAACUAAAGCUUAUUGAGUCUAGUUUCUUAUAAAAGAAAUGGUGUGAGCAAUGGAAUUGUAAAUCAUGAGAUAUAAUAGAUUUUGUGAGACAAGGUCAGAAUGAAUUCGGGUUCCCCUGUUCUGACUUUGGAAAAUCAUUAAAAAUCGUACAAAAAUUAUUAUGAGUUAUAAUUUAUAUGGUUAGUGAUACGACCCUGCCCUGGAAACAUUUCUUGGCUCGACUCACGAGCGAGGCUCGUUAUUCUCACAAGCUUGUCCCAGCUCAAUUUGGGCGGAUUCUAGCUUAUGGAGCUAGAAUGCAAUUUAUUAAGUUUGCAUUUAGAUGAUGUAAUAAAUAAGUUGCUGAUUAGUUAAUUAAAUAAGUUAAUUAAUUUGUUUAAAAAUCUGGACAUUUUUAUUUUAAUGUGUCUUAGUUUAUUACCUAUUAAAUAGAUGUCUAAUAGUUAAUUAAGUGUGUCUAAAUUUAAGACAAAUUUAAUUCAUGUUGUCAAUUAAUUUUUCCAGACGAAUUUAAUGUGCAGGAUAUUGUGUACUUUGGACGAAUUUAAUGCUGUUAAUUAAUGUGUUUUGCUGCUGUUGUUUAAUGCUGUUGUUGUUUAAAUACAGAAUGUUAAACAUGUCAUGGUUCAGCCGAAUUAAUGUGUGAGAUUUAAGCUAAGUAAAUUUGUUGAAUUUGCUAGGACAAUGUACAUGGACGGCAAAGAAGAGGUGGACAACAUCAUGCAUAAUUUGUGGAACAAAUUAAGGAAGCAUUUGACCAACAUCAUGCAUAAUUCAUGGAAGAAUUUGAGGAAGCAUUUGACCAACAUCAUGCAUAAUUCAUGGAAGAAUUUGAGGAAGCAUUUGGCCAACAUCAUGCAUAAUUCAUGGAAGAAUUUGAGGAAGCAUUUGACCAACAUCAUGCAUAAUUCAUGGAAGAAUUUAAGAAAGCAUUUGGCCAACAUCAUGCAUAAUUUAAGGAACAAAUUGAGGAAGCACCACGGCCGAAUUUGGCUUCCAAUUUUACCCAUUCGGCUACCCUUUUGUUUUGCCUAUAAAUAUGUGUUAAAUUUCAUUGUAAGGGGAGAAGAACCUUGAAUUAAUGUUUUUACAUUUUGUGAGAUUGUUUACAACUCUCAUUGUUCUCCAAAGACUCGUUUGACUUAUCAAGUAACCCUUGUGGCGUCAACCCAUUCUUCUUAUCCGAACUUAUCACUUUGCAUCCAAAGUGUGGCGUUCAAGUUAUACCGAGGUUCCUAUCAUCUUUGAUAGUGGGUUAAGGUUCCAUUUUAUUCGUUUUCCAUCCAUACAACAUUUAACCUUUCCUAAGUAUUCGUAUAAGUCCCGGGUUAACACACUUAUAUUGUGUUAGUUCAACUUGAAUACUUGGUUUUCAUUCACCUAUCAUCCUCAAUACACUUCAUAACCCCUUUUGAACUAAAUUUGAGCCUUUAUCCCUUCUUUCUUAACCUAUCUUCGACAAACCUUGAUAUUACUCCAAUUCACGAUCGGGUACAUCAACGACUCGACUCUCAUCACCGAGGCCGGGGCGUAUCAUCUGGUAUCAGAGCUAGCCGAAUCGGAGUAAGAAUCAUCAUCUUUGAUAUUAUGGUUUUGUAAAAAAAAAAAAGAGUCUGGAAACCCUUCAACAAUUUUUUUUGAAUCAUAAUCUACACUCCUUUAUACCCCUUUGAGUGAAUUUUCACGUUUUCAAAAAAAAAAAUUAUCCAAUUUAUUAUUUUUUCUUUCUUCUUUUGUAUUCGGUAUUAAAAAAAGAGAAAUUCAAAAAAAAAAUUCGGAAUUAAAAAAAAAGUGAUUGAAAUUCAUUUUAAGUUUUGUUUGAUAGCCUACCAUUUCCGACAUCAUUGCCCAUCAAGCCAACUCAAUUUUCUAAGCCGACGACAAACGGUAUUGAUUCGUCUAUCUAGUUUGUGGAGAACUUCGAGAGGCGAAAAUCGAGUGGAAAAAGGCACGAGUGGUGAGUACAUUAGAGCGAGCAAAAGCCAUUAAACAAGUGUAAACACGAGUGGAGUGUUAUCCAAUUUUCUUUGUGAGUGAAACGUGAGAUUUUUUUGUGGUGAGGUAUUUACUUUCUAUUUUAUUUUAAACAUUUUUUUAGCAAAAAAAAAUCAUGUCACAAGAAUUUUCUGAAUCAGAUUUCCAAUAUUUGAAGCAAGAGAUACGUAGAAUGGUGAAAUCAAAUUUUGAUAAAUUGCAUGAUCGAUUGGAUCGAGUGGAGGAAAGAGCCAGACGAAAACAAAAUCUACCAAAUCGAGAAAUGGAGUCGAGAUCAUUGCGGCGAUACGCGUCCAAAGACUACUCGUUAAGAGAUUCUUAUCGGGAUUCCUAUUCGUCAAGGAAUUCAAGACGCGACAGCCUAGAGCUUGCAACUUCUCGACAUGACAAACGAGAGAGGACGAGUUAUUCAUCGUAUGAUUCAAAGAAUUCCUUCCCGGAGGAUUGUUCCCGAAGAAAUGGACGAGAAGCCUAUGAAAAUAUUUUCUCUUCCUUUGGGGCAAAUGAUUAUAUUUUUGAUUCUUUCGUGUCGACUGCACAUUGUAAUGAAAUCGAAAAAGUGAGAGAAAAAGAAAAUGAAGAGAAAGAAUUCGAAAAAGAAAUUGAGAUUGUACAAGAGUGCGAGCAAGAAAAAGAAAAUGAAAGAAAUGAAAAAGAGAUUGAAAAAGAAAAAGAAAUCAAAAAAGAGAGUGAGGUCGAAAAUAAAGUUGAAAACGAGAGAGGAAAUGAAAAGAGAAAAAAAGAAGUUGAGAUUAAAAAAGAAACGAGCGAAAAAGAGACAAAUGAACUAGAAAAAGUGAGGAGCAUUUCAACUAAUCCAUAUGAAACUUGUUCUUGUUCUGUUUCUGCUUUUCAGGUAUCCAAAAGGCCGAGUGACGAUAAUUUACAACUCCAAUACCUUUCCAAGGAGAGAAGGUUCACCUUGGUUGAAAAAGGUAACGUUCUCAACUAUCUUAGUUCGCCUAUGCCAAAAGAGGAGCGAGGUAUGAGUUUUGAAAUUCUUAAAGCACCUCUGUUUUAUUCGAUUGUUGAUGGAAACCUUGUUGAUGAAUUGUCCUUUAGAAGUGAUCUGAACUUUGAUGUGGUUACUUGCCAUCCUUUGAUUGAUGAUAAUACAUUUGCGCGGAAUGAUGGCAAGAAGAAUAACGCUUUUGGAAAUUGCGAUGCUGAUGAGUUUGUUAGUAGAAUAAUAAUUAUUCGGCAUUUGCAAGAUAAAAAGACAUAUAAGCCAUUCCAUCGGCUUGAUUUGGGUAAAAAUAUGCACUCAUUGAUCUUUUGUGAGAAACUACUUUGUAUAAACAAGAAUGUGCGUAUGAGAUUUGAGACGUAUGAAUGCUUGAAAAAUGCAUGUCUUUGAUUUGUUUGUUUGAUAUGACGAUGACAUGUAAAAUGGUUAGUGCACUUAAAGUUGAAGAUGGUGCCUCAAAUCUGCUUUGUUAUCCAAAUUCUGUAUUUUUGAGCAAAAUUGACUGACUGAAAUUUAGAUUACAUGAUCAUUUGGAUGAGUUCUCGAUGUAUUUUGAUUAUAAUUCCAAUUUGAUUAUGAUGCAUGCUCUAUUGUCGAGUAUGGAGAUCCAUUUUGAAAAGGUUAAUUCAAGCAAGGAAUUUCGACUACUCUACAUUGCCGAGGAGAGAAGGUUUGUGUUGACCGAACAAGGUAAAACUGAUCUUUGUUUUCCUACUUUUAAAGGUAAGCCUCAUGAACUUUUUGAAACAUCGUUGUACUCUUUAGGUGGUGAUAAAGAUAGUGUUGUUGAUUUGACUCGUUAUUCACAUGCUGGUUAUGACUUGUGGAAACAAUUUGAGACAUUUGAAUGCCUUAGAACAUGUUCAUUUUUGUUUCGAAUAAUUGACGAGGCAUUAGCGAGUAAAUUAAUUUGUUUGCAUGAUUGUCAACAUGUUGCUUUGAAUCUGUCCACUCGCAUGGAAUUUUCUUGUUCUAUUCUGCUUGCAUAUGGAUUACAAAUUUAUCUGAAACACUUUUUGCUAAUUCAUGGUUAUUCCUUUCAGUUGUUCCAAUUCCAAUCCGUCCCAUUCGACCGAGGAAAGCUGAGUAAAAGUUGCUGUGUUCGAGUGAACCAAUGGCUCGACUUGAGGACAAGUCGUUCUAAAGAAGGGGGGAUGAUACGACCCUGCCAUGGAAACAUUUCUUGGCUCAACUCACGAGCGAGGCUCGUUAUUCUCACAAGCUCGUCCCAGCUCAAUUUGGGCGGAUUCUAGCUUAUGGAGCUAGAAUGCAAUUUAUUAAGUUUGCAUUUAGAUGAUGGAAUAAAUAAGUUGCUGAUUAGUUAAUUAAAUAAGUUAAUUAAUUUGUUUAAAAAUCUGGACAUUUUUAUUUUAAUGUGUCUUAGUUUAUUACCUAUUAAAUAGAUGUCUAAUAGUUAAUUAAGUGUGUCUAAAUUUAAGACAAAUUUAAUUCAUGUUGUCAAUUAAUUUUUCCAGACGAAUUUAAUGUGCAGGAUAUUGUGUACUUUGGACGAAUUUAAUGCUAUUAAUUAAUGUGUUUUGCUGCUGUUGUUUAAAUGCAGAAUGUUAAACAUGUCAUGGUUCAGCCGAAUUAAUGUGUGAGAUUUAAGCUAAGUAAAUUUGUUGAAUUUGCUAGGACAAUGUACAUGGACGGCAAAGAAGAGGUGGACAACAUCAUGCAUAAUUUGUGGAACAAAUUAAGGAAGCAUUUGACCAACAUCAUGCAUAAUUCAUGGAAGAAUUUGAAGAAGCAUUUGACCAACAUCAUGCAUAAUUCAUGGAAGAAUUUGAGGAAGCAUUUGGCCAACAUCAUGCAUAAUUCAUGGAAGAAUUUGAGGAAGCAUUUGACCAACAUCAUGCAUAAUUCAUGGAAGAAUUUAAGGAAGCAUUUGGCCAACAUCAUGCAUAAUUUAAGGAACAAAUUGAGGAAGCACCAUGGCCGGAUUUGGCUUCCAAUUUUACCCAUUCGGCUACCCUUUUGUUUUGCCUAUAAAUAUGUGUUAAAUUUCAUUGUAAGGGGAGAAGAACCUUGAAUUAAUGUUUUUACAUUUUGUGAGAUUGUUUACAACUCUCAUUGUUCUCCAAAGACUCGUUUGACUUAUCAAGUAACCCUUGUGGCGUCAACCCAUUCUUCUUAUCCGAACUUAUCACUUUGCAUCCAAAGUGUGGCGUUCAAGUUAUACCGAGGUUCCUAUCAUCUUUGAUAGUGGGUCAAGGUUCCAUUUUAUUCGUUUUCCAUCCAUACAACAUUUAACCUUUCCUAAGUAUUCGUAUAAGUCCCGGGUUAACACACUUAUAUUGUGUUGGUUCAACUUGAAUACUUGGUUUUCAUUCACCUAUCAUCCUCAAUACACUUCAUAACCCCUUUUGAACUAAAUUUGAGCCUUUAUCCCUUCUUUCUUAACCUAUCUUCGACAAACCUUGAUAUUACUCCAAUUCACGAUCGGGUACAUCAACGACUCGACUCUCAUCACCGAGGCCGGGGCGUAUCAUCUGGUAUCAGAGCUAGCCGAAUCGGAGUAAGAAUCAUCAUCUUUGAUAUUAUGGUUUUGUAAAAAAAAAGAGUCUGGAAACCCUUCAACAAUUUUUUUGAAUCAUAAUCUACACUCCUUUAUACCCCUUUGAGUGAAUUUUCACGUUUUCAAAAAAAAAAUUAUCCAAUUUAUUAUUUUUUCUUUCUUCUUUUGUAUUCGGUAUUAAAAAAAAAGAGAAAUUCAAAAAAAAAAUUCGAAAUUAAAAAAAAAGUGAUUGAAAUUCAUUUGAAGUUUUGUUUGAUAGCCUACCAUUUCCGACAUCAUUGCCCAUCAAGCCAACUCAAUUUUCUAAGCCGACGACAAACGGUAUUGAUUCGUCUAUCUAGUUUGUGGAGAACUUCGAGAGGCGAAAAUCGAGUGGAAAAAGGCACGAGUGGUGAGUACAUUAGAGCGAGCAAAAGCCAUUAAACAAGUGUAAACACGAGUGGAGUGUUAUCCAAUUUUCUUUGUGAGUGAAAUGUGAGAUUUUUUUUGUGGUGAGGUAUUUACUUUCUAUUUUAUUUUAAUCAUUUUUUUAGCAAAAAAAAAUCAUGUCACAAGAAUUUUCCGAAUCAGAUUUCCAAUAUUUGAAGCAAGAGAUACGUAGAAUGGUGAAAUCAAAUUUUGAUAAAUUGCAUGAUCGAUUGGAUCGAGUGGAGGAAAGAGCCAGACGAAAACAAAAUCUACCAAAUCAAGAAAUGGAGUCGAGAUCAUUGCGGCGAUACGCGUCCAAAGACUACUCGUUAAGAGAUUCUUAUCGGGAUUCCUAUUCGUCAAGGAAUUCAAGACGCGACAGCCUAGAGCUUGCAACUUCUCGACAUGACAAACGAGAGAGGACGAGUUAUUCAUCGUAUGAUUCAAAGAAGUCCUUCCCGGAGGAUUGUUCCCGAAGAAAUGGACGAGAAGCCUAUGAAAAUAUUUUCUCUUCCUUUGGGGCAAAUGGUUAUAUUUUUGAUUCUUUCGUGUCGACUGCACAUUGUAAUGAAAUCGAAAAAGUGAGAGAAAAAGAAAAUGAAGAGAAAGAAUUCGAAAAAGAAAUUGAGAUUGUACAAGAGUGCGAGCAAGAAAAAGAAAAUGAAAGAAAUGAAAAAGAGAUUGAAAAAGAAAAAGAAAUCAAAAAAGAGAGUGAGGUCGAAAAUAAAAUUGAAAACGAGAGAGGAAAUGAAAAGAGAAAAAAAGAAGUUGAGAUUAAAAAAGAAACGAGCGAAAAAGAGACAAAUGAACUAGAAAAAGUGAGGAGCAUUUCAACUAAUCCAUAUGAAACUUGUUCUUGUUCUGUUUCUGCUUUUCAGGUAUCCAAAAGGCCGAGUGAUGAUAAUUUACAACUCCAAUACCUUUCCAAGGAGAGAAGGUUCACCUUGGUUGAAAAAGGUAACGUUCUCAACUAUCUUAGUUCGCCUAUGCCAAAAGAGGAGCGAGGUAUGAGUUUUGAAAUUCUUAAAGCACCUCUGUUUUAUUCGAUUGUUGAUGGAAACCUUGUUGAUGAAUUGUCCUUUAGAAGUGAUCUGAACUUUGAUGUGGUUACUUGCCAUCCUUUGAUUGAUGAUAAUACAUUUGCGCGGAAUGAUGGCAAGAAGAAUAACGCUUUUGGAAAUUGCGAUGCUGAUGAGUUUGUUAGUAGAAUAAUAAUUAUUCGGCAUUUGCAAGAUAAAAAGACAUAUAAGCCAUUCCAUCGGCUUGAUUUGGGUAAAAAUAUGCACUCAUUGAUCUUUUGUGAGAAACUACUUUGUAUAAACAAGAAUGUGCGUAUGAGAUUUGAGACGUAUGAAUGCUUGAAAAAUGCAUGUCUUUGAUUUGUUUGUUUGAUAUGACGAUGACAUGUAAAAUGGUUAGUGCGCUUAAAGUUGAAGAUGGUGCCUCAAAUCUGCUUUGUUAUCCAAAUUCUGCAUUUUUGAGCAAAAUUGACUGACUGAAAUUUAGAUUACAUGAUCAUUUGGAUGAGUUCUCGAUGUAUUUUGAUUAUAAUUCCAAUUUGAUUAUGAUGCAUGCUCUAUUGUCGAGUAUGGAGAUCCAUUUUGAAAAGGUUAAUUCAAGCAAGGAAUUUCGACUACUCUACAUUGCCGAGGAGAGAAUGUUUGUGUUGACCGAACAAGGUAAAACUGAUCUUUGUUUUCCUACUUUUAAAGGUAAGCCUCAUGAACUUUUUGAAACAUCGUUGUACUCUUUAGGUGGUGAUAAAGAUAGUGUUGUUGAUUUGACUCGUUAUUCACAUGCUGGUUAUGACUUGUGGAAACAAUUUGAGACAUUUGAAUGCCUUAGAACAUGUUCAUUUUUGUUUCGAAUAAUUGACGAGGCAUUAGCGAGUAAAUUAAUUUGUUUGCAUGAUUGUCAACAUGUUGCUUUGAAUCUGUCCACUCGCAUGGAAUUUUCUUGUUCUAUUCUGCUUGCAUAUGGAUUACAAAUUUAUCUGAAACACUUUUUGCUAAUUCAUGGUUAUUCCUUUCAGUUGUUCCAAUUCCAAUCCGUCCCAUUCGACCGAGGAAAGCUGAGUAAAAGUUGCUGUGUUCGAGUGAACCAAUGGCUCGACUUGAGGACAAGUCGUUCUAAAGAAGGGGGGAUGAUACGACCCUGCCCUGGAAACAUUUCUUGGCUCAACUCACGAGCGAGGCUCGUUAUUCUCACAAGCUCGUCCCAGCUCAAUUUGGGCGGAUUCUAGCUUAUGGAGCUAGAAUGCAAUUUAUUAAGUUUGCAUUUAGAUGAUGGAAUAAAUAAGUUGCUGAUUAGUUAAUUAAAUAAGUUAAUUAAUUUGUUUAAAAAUUUGGACAUUUUUAUUUUAAUGUGUCUUAGUUUAUUACCUAUUAAAUAGAUGUCUAAUAGUUAAUUAAGUGUGUCUAAAUUUAAGACAAAUUUAAUUCAUGUUGUCAAUUAAUUUUUCCAGACGAAUUUAAUGUGCAGGAUAUUGUGUACUUUGGACGAAUUUAAUGCUGUUAAUUAAUGUGUUUUGCUGCUGUUGUUUAAUGCUGCUGUUGUUUAAAUGCAGAAUGUUAAACAUGUCAUGGUUCAGCCGAAUUAAUGUGUGAGAUUUAAGCUAAGUAAAUUUGUUGAAUUUGCUAGGACAAUGUACAUGGACGGCAAAGAAGAGGUGGACAACAUCAUGCAUAAUUUGUGGAACAAAUUAAGGAAGCAUUUGACCAACAUCAUGCAUAAUUCAUGGAAGAAUUUGAAGAAGCAUUUGACCAACAUCAUGCAUAAUUCAUGGAAGAAUUUGAGGAAGCAUUUGGCCAACAUCAUGCAUAAUUCAUGGAAGAAUUUGAGGAAGCAUUUGACCAACAUCAUGCAUAAUUCAUGGAAGAAUUUAAGGAAGCAUUUGGCCAACAUCAUGCAUAAUUUAAGGAACAAAUUGAGGAAGCACCAUGGCCAGAUUUGGCUUCCAAUUUUACCCAUUCGGCUACCCUUUUGUUUUGCCUAUAAAUAUGUGUUAAAUUUCAUUGUAAGGGGAGAAGAACCUUGAAUUAAUGUUUUUACAUUUUGUGAGAUUGUUUACAACUCUCAUUGUUCUCCAAAGACUCGUUUGACUUAUCAAGUAACCCUUGUGGCGUCAACCCAUUCUUCUUAUCCGAACUUAUCACUUUGCAUCCAAAGUGUGGCGUUCAAGUUAUACCGAGGUUCCUAUCAUCUUUGAUAGUGGGUCAAGGUUCCAUUUUAUUCGUUUUCCAUCCAUACAACAUUUAACCUUUCCUAAGUAUUCGUAUAAGUCCCGGGUUAACACACUUAUAUUGUGUUGGUUCAACUUGAAUACUUGGUUUUCAUUCACCUAUCAUCCUCAAUACACUUCAUAACCCCUUUUGAACUAAAUUUGAGCAUUUAUCCCUUCUUUCUUAACCUAUCUUCGACAAACCUUGAUAUUACUCCAAUUCACGAUCGGGUACAUCAACGACUCGACUCUCAUCACCGAGGCCGGGGCGUAUCAGUUAGAAUCCUUAAUAAGUAUAUUUUUAUAAGAAACAAACGAAAACAUCAUCCAAAUUCUUUACAAUGAGAUAAUUAAUUUUUAGUGAAGAGUGGUCGGAACUGUCAGACAGCGAAACAGGGGAAACUUUAAAGAAUAAACUGUACUAUUUGGCUGAACCAAAAAUUCUGAAACUUUUAUGAUAUGAAGAUAUGUGAGUCUAGUUUCAGGAAAAAUUAACGGAUCUUAAUCCAAAGCUCUGUAGCUCCGGAUAAAAAUAAUUUAGUGACUCUGACUCGGAUAAAUAGUUUUGAAUGUACAUGUUAGUGAAUACUGAAAUUAUGGUUAAUGUUGUUUAAGUGUGUUAUACACAUUAAGGAUGUGGAAUGGAGAGGAGGAGGAGGAAAAUUGGGAAAUAUAUGAAUGAUUCGUGUAUAAAUGGUCAUAUGUUUGAUUAUAACUGAUAAACGAUGAAAUAUGAAUGAUGCUUAUAUUUGUGCAUUAUUGGUCAUGUUUAAGCUCAUGUGUGAAAAUAAGGUUUCACAGUAUAUGUAUGGUAUAUUCAGUAUAUGAUUUGGCAUGAAAUAAUAUCAUGAAUGGUUUAUGAAUUAACACAUGUUGGUGAGCCUUAUAUAUGAAUAAAUGAUCAAAUUGAGCGGAACGCCGGAUUUGAGUACUUCUGAUCAAGUGACAAAGUGAUAAGUGAUAGCUUCGGCUAUACUUAUCUGAUCAAGUGACAAAGUGAUAAGUGAUAGCUUCAGCUACACUUAUCUGAUCAAGUGACAAGUGGAAAGUGAUAAGUGAUAGCUUCGGUUACACUUAUCUGAUCAAGUGACAAGUGAAAAGUGAAAAGUGAUAGCUUCGGCUAUACUUAUCUGAUCAAGAGACAAAGUGAUAAGUGAUAGCUUUUGCUACACUUAUCUGAUCAAGAGACAAAGUGAUAAGUGGCUACACUUAUCUGAUCAAGAAACAAAGUGAUAAGUGGCUACACUUAUCUGAUCAGGGACAAGUGAUAAGUGAUCAUAUGUAAGACCAUAGUUAUACUAUGGCAAAGUGAAAGUGAAGUACUCAAUUUUCCGUAACCGUUCCCUAAUUUGAUUAAGGAUGGUAAGUGACAAAUGGGCCCAAAAGAAUUAAAGCAAUUGGAUAAGUGGUAGUGUAUUUAUACCAGGAUGAUGUUGUUAUUUAAGCUAAAGUGAUAUCUUCAUUGCAAAAUUGAGAAUUUCAUAAAUGUGUUAGUGAAUGGUAUAAUCGAUAAACGUUGAGUUAAAUGGUAAAUACGUAUUAGUGUUAAACUUAGUGACAUUGAAUUGUACGUGAAUUAAAUGGAAAUUGCUAGUGAUAUGAUCUAAAUUGUAAGCAUGAGAAAUUGCGAAUUGAAUGAAAUGGAAAUGAAGCAUUGAAUUGUAUGAGUAUGUGACGGGUCUCGUAGGCCCUAAUUAUUAUGAUUAUAAUAUUUCGAGGAUAUAUUGUGAAAAGUUAUAGAAGCAUGUUAAUUAUUUUGAAAGUUUUUAUUUAGAUGAAAUUUUAUAACUCGGUUAAAUACGCUUACAAGUGUAUGUGUUUUGGUGAUACCUCGUACCCUAUUCCGGUGUUGGAUACAGGUAAGGGGUGUUACAGUGCCAAUGAACCGUCAAACUCUACCAACAAUUAAAUUAAAAGAAGUAUAGUACCCAAAUUUGAUUUCUAUCACAACACACAAAAGCUGUGCGUAAAAAAUUAACUAAUCGACAAAGAAAAUUAUUCAACCUUGUGGUAGCCACUUCAAACAAAGACAAUUACCCAUAUUCCUUCCUAAUAUUUAAAUAAAAUGAUAAUACGCUUUAGUCACUUUACUCGCAAUAAUACUGAUAUUUAUUAAGUUAAGAAUAAAUUUUAAUUUUUUAGUAUAGAAAUAAAAUAUAAUUUGAUUUCUAGUAAAUUACAUUCUAAUACUUUCACCCAAAAUUUACCCAAACAGAUCCUUCGAGAUUGUCAUUAGGGACUCAAAGGGAAAGGUUUUGGCGUCGAGGAUUGUUCUAAACGAGAGGGUACCUUCGAUUUUUACAACAGAGACCCUUGCAUGUGUCCAAGGGCUUCAAUUGGGGUUGGAUUUAGAAAUCAUGAUUGUAGAGGUAGAAGGAGAUAUUUUAUCAGUUAUUAAAAAUGUACAAAAGAAAAGGGAUGAUAUAUCAGAGAUUUGUGCUCUCAUUAAAGACUGACAAUGGCUGAGUAAGGGAUUCCAGAUCUGCAAUUUCAAACAUGUUCAAAGAAUGAAGAACAAAGAACGAAGUUGGCUACAAAAGGUUUAGGAAAUGGGGAACAAAGAGAUAUGAAUAAAGGAGCCCUGAUUACGUAGAGGAGCUAGUGGAAAUAGAUCGACAAAGCAGUGUGCAAGUUUGAUAUGUGUGGUGUCGAUUUACAUUUUGGAAAGUUGAAGAAUGGAAAAAAUGAAAGAGGAUCUAGAAGAUGAAAAGUUUUUUUGAAGGAUUGAAAGGUGUGAUAAUUAAUGGAAGAAUUACUACAUUGUUUAAGAACAAACUGUAAAUGGAUUAUGAGUCUAUAUAUACUCAUAUUUCACAUUUCACAUAGUUUAAAAAAAUAAGGGAAAUGAGAUUUGGGGUCUAUAUAAAUACAUAUUCUGUAAAUCUUAUUUCAUAUUAAUAUGUGGUACCAAAAAAUAAAAAAAUUUCUUGGUGUUGCCACUUUUAGUGUUGGUAUAGCAAAAACCACUUUCACCUAAAAGCAUUUUCAACAUGUAUUGGUAAUUUAAUCUCUUGCAUAGGCCUAUUUUUUAUUUGUAUUUUUUUUAUUUGCCAAAUUAAAAGUGAUGUUUCAUUAUGUUUGUUAUAUGAGUCAUAAAUUAGAUGUGAUGUUUCACUAUGUUUUUAUAUUAGUCCAGAAAAUAAGCUUGUUUUUUUGUAAAAAAAGUAUAAAUCAAAAAGUAGGAGUCAAAAAGUCUUUUUAGAGGUUAAUAAUAAAUUUCAGUUAAUUUAUAUAUAAUAAUAAUAAUAAUAAUAAUAAUAAAGGGCUAGUUUGGGGACCAGGAACAGCGUCCUGCAGAGCAAAUUAAUGAACAUUUUGGAUGCACUCUUAGAAUAUAAAACCAUGGACCCUCCCACAUGUCAUCCACUUUAUUUAGGUUGGUAUUCUAUUAGUAAAUUUUAUUUUUGGUUAUUCAGUUAUAAAAAGUUAUAAAAUUUUUACUUGAUUAUGUUUUUUGACCACCAACUAUUAAAUAGUUAACGGAAAAAAAUGACGUAACAAUUUUUAAAUUUGUUAUAAUAAUAACUUUAAUCUCAAUAUUUCUAUAUUGUUUUAAUUUAAUCUUUAUUUAAAAAAUUAAUCAUCAACAUUUAUACAUUAUGUAAUUUAGUUAGAUCAAGCUAAGUCAUGUAGAUAUCGUCCAAAAAAUAGUUAACACUUUUAAGCUCGACAUAUUUAGGGUUUUCAAGCUCUCAAAUCUGUUUCAGUCCAAGAUUCUGGGGAAUAAAUCAAUUAGUUAACUUGGAGUAGACACAUAUUCAAUUCAAUAGACAAUUCUCAACUAAUUCCUAAAUGAAAUGAUGUUUAAUAUCAAUAUGUUUGAUUCUUAAGUAGCAUUUUUUUUAAAGGAAAAGUCAUUACUUUAUACCUUAAUUUAAAGUGAUGUUUUUCUUUGACGUGAUGAUGAUUUGUAGAUGAAAAUUUGACUUAUAAGCAUAAAUUACUUUUAUCUAUUUAUUUAAUAUUUCACUAUCCAUUUUUUUUAUUCUUUUGAUUAUCUUAAAAAUGUUAUUUUAUUAUUUUAGAUUAAUCUAUUUUUAUUAUAAAUUAGAUCAAUCAUCUUUUAAUCUAGGAAUAUAUUUUUAUAAACUGUAAACAUAAUAUUUAAUAAAUAAAAAAAUAAACAUAUAAGAUCACAAUCAUCGUAACAUUUGGAAUCAAUUUAUUAUAAAUAGAGUAAAUGGUUAUUGGAGAAUUGAUUGACUUAAUUUUUUAACAUUCAUUAUUUUAAUCGAAACUUAAAUUGAAGGGACGAAAUCAAAUUAACAUACUAGAACAACCCCUAAUAAAUCAACUUCAACAAGAAAACGAAAUGUAAAGAAGUGAUCUAUGAUUUCAACCAUUGAACAAAGUUCUUGAAUACCUUAUCAGAACUUCCACCAUCACCUACACUUUUGGUAACCAUUUGCUUCAGUUCAAUAGCUCUUGUUUUGAACUUUUCAUCACCAACCAAUUGUUCCACUUUGCUUUUAAUUUCUUCUUUUCUAAUGAUACCUCCUUCAUCCUUUUGGAGUUUUAAUCCAAGCUUCCAAAUAUCAGAAAUGUAGCUUUCAUUCAGGAACUGAUCAGCAAAGUAAGGCCAACACAAGAAAGGCACCCCAUUGCUUACACCUUCCAUGGUGGAAUUCCACCCACAGUGACUUAUAAAGCAUGCAAUGGAAGAAUGACCCAAAACUGCUGCUUGUGGUGCCCAACUUACUAUCCUACAUUGAUUGCCAACUCUUUCAUUAAACCCUUUAGGGUAGUUAUGGUGUUUUCCUUUUGUAAUAUCUUCUCUUACAACCCAAAGGAAUGGUCUUUCGGUGAUUUCAAGGCCCAAAGCUAACUCUUGAAACUGGAUUUGGUCAAAAACUGUGAAACUACCAAAUGCGACAUAUAUGACUGAACCAGGUGACUGUUGAUCGAGCCACUGCAAACAAGUUGGAUCCUCGAGCCAAAAAUUUCCCGACAAGUUUCCGAGCCGAUUGGUGGCUAAAAAUGGGCCUAUGGGUAAGGCUCUGGGAACUAAGUUGAACCCUUGAAGCUCUAAUUCCAAACUUGAGUUGCAAAGUACCCAAUCUGUUGUUUCAACAACUUUGUUGUUCCUAAGUAGAAAAUCAAACAUGAUUUUUUGGGUUGAAGGAGAGUCAUCAAGGUUAAGCCAUAUCAAAUUCAUUGGGUGUAUAGAAGGCGUCAUUGGUGACAACUGAAUCAUCUUAUGUUUCAUGAGUGGAGUGCCUGCAAAACAGAUUUAAAUAAUUGAAGAUAACGUUG
rnacentral:lncRNA from 1 species